CAUCAACUCCUAGCAGUUCAACCGUAGCAAACAGAUUCAUCGAGCCCCUGACCUUCAAAUGCUCAAAAAAAUAUCUCAACGACCCAUCGUUUGUUAGCAAUACAGGGGCGGGUUUUAAUCCCGGUUGCAAGCUCCAAGCUACCCGGUGGCCAGUAAGACAGUGCAACACCAUACUCUAACUCCCUUGCUCUGAACUCAACCAGCACCCGACGCUCAAGCUCCUUUAUGGAUAUUCCUUCCUCAACCGAUACCAUCCUAGCCAUCUUCUUCUUGGGGGUUAAUCCCGGUUGCAAGCUCCAAGCUAUCCGGUGGCCAAUAAGACAGCGCAACAUCAUGCUCUAACUCCCCUUCUCUGAACUCAACCAGCACCCGAC
rnacentral:lncRNA from 1 species